rnacentral:rRNA from 1 species
UCGGAACGUGCCCUGGAGUGGGGGAUAACGCAGCGAAAGUUGCGCUAAUACCGCAUACGAUCUAAGGAUGAAAUGGGGGAUUCGCAAGAACCUCAUGCUCCUGGAGCGGCCGAUAUCUGAUUAGCUAGUUGGUGGGGUAAAGGCCUACCAAGGCAUCGAUCAGUAGCUGGUCUGAGAGGACGACCAGCCACACUGGAACUGAGACACGGUCCAG